rnacentral:rRNA from 1 species
AUCAUCCUACGAGAGGCAGCAGUGAGGAAUAUUGGUCAAUGGGCGGGAGCCUGAACCAGCCAAGUCGCGUGAAGGAGGAAGGUACUUAGUAUUGUAAACUUCUUUUGUCGGGGAACAAAGGCGGAGACGCGUCUCCGGAUGAGUGUACCCGAAGAAAAAGCAUCGGCUAACUCCGUGCCAGCAGCCGCGGUAAUACGGCGGAUGCGGGCGUUAUCCGGAUUUAUUGGGUUUAAAGGGG